AUUGAACGCUGGCGGCAUGCCUUACACAUGCAAGUCGAACGGCAGCACGGGAGCAAUCCUGGUGGCGAGUGGCGAACGGGUGAGUAAUAUAUCGGAACGUGCCCAGUCGUGGGGGAUAACGCAGCGAAAGCUGUGCUAAUACCGCAUACGAUCUAAGGAUGAAAGCGGGGGAUCGCAAGACCUCGCGCGAUUGGAGCGGCCGAUAUCAGAUUAGCUAGUUGGUGGGGUAAAGGCCCACCAAGGCGACGAUCUGUAGCUGGUAUGAGAGGACGACCAGCCGACCUGGAACUGAGACACGGUCCAGACUCCUACGGGAGGCAGCAGUGGGGAAUUUUGGACAAUGGGCGCAAGCCUGAUCCAGCAAUGCCGCGUGCAGGAUGAAGGCCUUCGGGUUGUAAACUGCUUUUGUACGGAACGAAACGGCCCUUUCUAAUACAAGGGGCUAAUGACGGUACCGUAAGAAUAAGCACCGGCUAACUACGUGCCAGCCGCCGCUGUAAUAC
rnacentral:rRNA from 1 species